AAAUAUAUUGCUCAGUGAUUUUCAAAGAAGUAACUUACUUCAAGGGUUGACUGGAAAAACCCAUUUCCUCUUAAAAUGUCUGUGGAAGUGAGGUACGCACAAAGAUCCAGAGUGGACUUAUGCGUGGGCGUCUGAUUACUAAACACGAAGUGACUCACCUGCGGCUUCACAAGCACACGCACGGAAAGGCGUCGUGGGAGAGGUCAGAGGCUUUCCCCACCCUGCUUGUGAGUGACCUUUGUACAUGGUGGGGCAGAGACAAAGAUUCAUAACUUACUGACAGGUGUUGGUUAAACUCGGCUUUUAUUAGUAUUUUUAUAGGUUUCAUGAUUAGGACUUAAGCAAGAUUGUGCCUGAGUGAAAAAUAAAUGAAUAGAGGAGCUGCUUCUUCACCGUCUCACAUUUCCCAGGCUUGGGCACACCGGCUUCUCAUGCAGAGGAGGCUUUGAGAGGCACGAACAGGGGAACAGAUUUCUUCACUGGUUUCCACUCAUUCCAACCCCUCGUCUCUGCUUGGCUGGGAUGGUCUUAAUACUGGCUACUUCGUAACGUUCUCAUGAACCAAAAAACAUCACUAAUAGACUCCGUCCUUCUUUCUGAAAUGAGGGAUAUGCUUCCUGCCUUCAGCAUUCCUCGACUUCAGUCUAUUUUGAAACCAGGGCUGGUGAAUUGGUUAAAUUCCAUCAAUGGAAAGGACAUCCUAGGCACCCUCUGGGAACCACUGUGAGCAGCAAGGUCCUAGAGGAUCUGUUGGGAGUGUCUCUGCAGCUGGCAGCCUGCAACAGCGCUGGCGUUUUUUGGAGAGGGGACAGAUUAGCCCUGAAGCCUCAGGUAUCUGACAUGCCAGUUACUGCCUCCUGUUUUAGGUAAUCAGCCCUGCUGUCUCCUGGAGCAACUCUCAGUGAUUGUGUCAGAUGUGCUGUCACUGCGGGCUCUAUGUUUUUCCCUUUCCUUGUCAAGUGUAUCUCUUCCUGCAGCUCAGAGAGCGAGAUGGUAUUAGCCCUACAUACAAGGACCAGCUCACAUUAAGGCACUGCCUUCAGUCUGAUAGAGAGCCAGACUUGGCAGCACUGCAGAAGCUUCUCCUUUCUGCUGGUGGAAUGGGUCUGGAGAGUUUCCACUGCCCAAGCCAGCACAGCAUGACCAGAGUUCUGGGUGUUCGGUGGACGUCAGUCCACAGCCAAAGUCCAGGCAGCUACUUCAGUUCUCUGCUGAGAUUGGAGCCCAGCUCUGAGAGUUAGAUGAGUUCUCACCUUUCUUCUGAGCUCUGACUCUGCUUCUGACACUCUUGGUCCAACCUGGAUAGAGUGUGGAGGUGAAAUGUUGACAGUGUCUAGUGUUGACCUCAGACUCUGAGCUCCAGCCCUACCUUCUCAGGUGGCUGCCCUUGAGGACUGAUGCGAAUCCCGGGUGGACUAGCACUAGUCUGCUGCUGCCGCUUGGUGAGUCAAAUGUACCUUGUCUUGCUGUUCCAGUCUGGAAGCUCCUGGC
rnacentral:lncRNA from 10 species